rfam:Streptococcus intermedius B196, complete genome.
GGAGAGGUAGCGAAGAGGCUAAACGCGGCGGACUGUAAAUCCGCUCCUUCGGGUUCGGGGGUUCGAAUCCCUCCCUCUCCA